AUUGAACGCUGGCGGCAUGCCUUACACAUGCAAGUCGAACGGCAGCACGGGUGCUUGCACCUGGUGGCGAGUGGCGAACGGGUGAGUAAUACAUCGGAACAUGUCCUGUAGUGGGGGAUAGCCCGGCGAAAGCCGGAUUAAUACCGCAUACGAUCUACGGAUGAAAGCGGGGGCCCUUCGGGCCUCGCGCUAUAGGGUUGGCCGAUGGCUGAUUAGCUAGUUGGUGGGGUAAAGGCCUACCAAGGCGACGAUCAGUAGCUGGUCUGAGAGGACGACCAGCACCACUGGGACUGAGACACGGCCCAGACUCCUACGGGAGGCAGCAGUGGGGAAUUUUGGACAAUGGGCGAAAGCCUGAUCCAGCAAUGCCGCGUGUGUGAAGAAGGCCUUCGGGUUGUAAAGCACUUUUGUCCGGAAAGAAAUCCUUGGCCCUAAUACGGUCGGGGGAUGACGGUACCGGAAGAAUAAGCACCGGCUAACUACGUG
rnacentral:rRNA from 1 species